CCUACGGGCGGCUGCAGUGAGGAAUAUUGGUCAAUGGACGGAAGUCUGAACCAGCCAUGCCGCGUGCAGGAAGACGGCUCUAUGAGUUGUAAACUGCUUUUGUACAAGGGUAAACCUGAAUACGUGUAUUCAGCUGAAAGUACUGUACGAAUAAGGAUCGGCUAACUCCGUGCCAGCAGCCGCGGUAAUACGGAGGAUCCAAGCGUUAUCCGGAUUUAUUGGGUUUAAAGGGUGCGUAGGCGGAUCGUUAAGUCAGUGGUCAAAUUGAGGGGCUCAACCCCUUCCCGCCAUUGAAACUGGCGCUCUUGAGUGGAAGAGAAGUAUGCGGAAUGCGUGGUGUAGCGGUGAAAUGCAUAGAUAUCACGCAGAACCCCGAUUGCGAAGGCAUCUCACGAAUCCGCGAUUGACGCUGAUGCACGAAAGCGUGGGUAUCAAACAGGAUUAGAUACCCGAGUAGUC
rnacentral:rRNA from 1 species